CACGGGGGGAGCAAGCGUUGUUCGGAAUCACUGGGCGUAAAGGGCGUGUAGGCGGUCAGGUAAGUGGGGUGUGAAAGCCCCCGGCUCACCCGGGGAUCUGCAUUCCAAACUGCCUGGCUUGAGUACGGGGAGAGGAUGAGGGAAUUCCUGGUAUAGCGGUGAAAUGCGUAGAUAUCAGGAGGAACACCGGUGGCGAAGGCGCUCAUCUGGCCCGAUACUGACGCUGAGGAGCGAAAGCAUGGGGAGCGAACAGG
rnacentral:rRNA from 1 species